CGGACCAAACAGAUUAAUCUAACUGAGCCGGAGAGUACGAAGAUUCUAGGAUCUUCAGGAAUGACAAGUCGCCGAAUUCUUGCGGGAUCUCGCCGAGGAUGUUUCCGGAGAGGAUGGUGGGAGGAAUCCGAGUAACAAUGACAGAGAUGAGAUGGAACGCACUGACGAGUGAACUGAAGGAGCCUCAUAUUUUUCAAUCCAGAUUUAUGUCGGGGCUCUGGGUUCUCGAGCUACAGAUUAUGUCUGGAAGUGAGUUCUUGGUCAAUUCGAGGAAUUACUUCAUGCGAAAAUACUAGCAGGGAAUCGUUGCGGUUUUGUUCAGUUUGCCAACAGGGCAUGUUGAAUGGAACAACACAAAGCGGACAAAGUCUCCACCUUUCUUGGGGGCCGUAGUCCUUCUAACAAUCAGGCUCAACCCGAUCAAGCUCAGCGGAAAGGUGGAUAUCACGGGUAUGGACUGACUCAGGGAUAUGAAGCAUAUGGUUAUGCACCUCCUCUUCCGCCUCCCCCAAGGCCCUAACAUGUAUUACGGAGGUUAAUCUGGUAACGGUAACUAUCAGCAGGCGGGUUCUCACCAGCAGUGAAGCGUGUUUUAUCAUAUGACGGAGCUUGGACUUCCACCAGUUGCUUCAAUCCAAGCAUUCACCUGACAACUAGAAAGCCUACUCUCUCUCUCUCUCUCUCUCUCUCUCUCUCUCUCUCUCUCUCUCU